GACGAACGCUGGCGGCGUGCUUAACACAUGCAAGUCGAACGGUGAAGCGCCUUCCUUUUUGGUGAGUGUGGAUGAGUGGCGAACGGGUGAGUAACACGUGAGUAACCUGCCCCCUUCUUCUGGAUAACCGCAUGAAAGUGUGGCUAAUACGGGAUAUUCUGGUUCUGUCGCAUGAUGGGUUUGGGAAAGAUAUUGUUUCGGUGGGGGAUGGGCUCGCGGCCUAUCAGCUUGUUGGUGGGGUGAUGGCCUACCAGGGCGGUGACGGGUAGCCGGCCUGAGAGGGUGGACGGUCACACUGGGACUGAGACACGGCCCGGACUCCUACGGGAGGCAGCAGUGGGGAAUAUUGCACAAUGGGCGCAAGCCUGAUGCAGCGACGCCGCGUGAGGGAUGGAGGCCUUCGGGUUGUGAACCUCUUUCGCCAGUGAAGCAGGCCUGCCUCGUUUGUGGGUGGGUUGACGGUAGCUGGAUAAGAAGCGCCGGCUAACUACGUG
rnacentral:rRNA from 1 species